UACGGAAGGCAGCAGUGGGGAAUAUUGCACAAUGGGCGCAAGCCUGAUGCAGCCAUGCCGCGUGUAUGAAGAAGGCCUUCGGGUUGUAAAGUACUUUCAGUCGUGAGGAAGGUGUUAAGGUUAAUAACCUUAGCAAUUGACGUUAGCGACAGAAGAAGCACCGGCUAACUCCGUGCCAGCAGCCGCGGUAAUACGGAGGGUGCGAGCGUUAAUCGGAAUUACUGGGCGUUAAAGGGCACGCAGGCGGUUAAUUAAGUUGGAUGUGAAAUCCCCGGGCUUAACCUGGGAAUGGCAUUCAAGACUGGUUAGCUAGAGUCUUGUAGAGGGGGUAGAAUUCCGAUGUGUAGCGGUGAAAUGCGUAGAGAUGUGGAGGAAUACCGGUGGCGAAGGCGGCCCCUGGGACAAAGACUGACGCUCAUGUGCGAAAGCGUGGGGAGCAAACAGGAUUAGAUACC
rnacentral:rRNA from 1 species